rnacentral:tRNA from 1 species
GGAAGGGUCGCAUAGUGGCCGAGUGCGCGCGCUUGGAAAGCGCGUAUACCGAAAGGUAUCGCGGGUUCGAAUCCCGCCCCUUCCG